rnacentral:rRNA from 2 species
GCGACCCCAGGAUGGGCGGGGUGACCCGCUUAUU